UACGAAGGGUGCAAGCGUUAAUCGGAAUUACUGGGCGUAAAGCGCGCGUAGGUGGUUCAGCAAGUUGGAUGUGAAAGCCCCGGGCUCAACCUGGGAACUGCAUCCAAAACUACUGAGCUAGAGUACGGUAGAGGGUGGUGGAAUUUCCUGUGUAGCGGUGAAAUGCGUAGAUAUCGCUUGGAACGCCGAAGGUGGAAACAGGCUGCUGGGGUUGCGCCGACGCUGAGACACGAAAGCCAGGAGAGCAAACGGG
rnacentral:rRNA from 1 species